UACAUAUAUCAGCACAGGCACGGCCACGGACACACCUCACUGGUCCAUCUUUUCUCCGAUAAGACUGCCCCAUGCUCUGAAUAUCUGCUCCAGUUGCUAGGUUAGCAACCUGCAUUUCUUGAAGAUCGCCUUGUGAGGAGAUGCCGACGGUAGCCAUCACGCUGGACCUGUCAUGCUGCCGCCGCAGAAGCAAGAUUCAGAAGAUCCUCUGCUGCAUCCAAGAGCGUUGCGGGUUCGUCUUCGAGAAGGUUGUGUACGAGAAGGAGAAGGUGCUCGUCACCGGGCCCUUCGACGCCAUCGAGCUCUGCUGCAAGCUCCGGUGCAAGGCCGGCUGUUUCGUCACCAAAAUCGAGAUCGUGCCACCGCCACCGCCGCCG